rnacentral:lncRNA from 1 species
ACAAUGUUUAGAAUAUGUGAUCUAUGUAAAUAGGAAUAUUCUAAAAAUAUUUAGAAUACACAUUUCGCGCUUAACCUAUCGUUCUAAAAUCUUUAGAAAUCAAAAUCUACACAUUAAUAUAAAUCUAAAACACGUAGAAACCGACUUCUACAGAUUUACUAUAAAUCUAAAACAUGUAGAAAUCAAAAUCUAAACAUUACUAUAGUUCUAAAAAACUGUAGAAAUCGGUUUCUACAUAUUAGUUGUAUUCUAAGGAUAAGAAAUCAGUUCCUAAAAAUAUGGAAACAAAAUAUUUGAGAAUAUUCACUUUUAUAUUUUGAAAAAAAAAUCAAUUUUUUUUUAAAAAAAUAAAAAAAACGAAAAAGGAAAAAAAAAACAAAAAAAAAAAACGAAAAAAGGAAUAAAAAAUUAUAAUUUUAAGGGCAUUACUGCCAUUUUGAAAAAAUUAGUCUAAUGGGACAUAAAGUAGUAUAGAUUAGUAUAAAGGAACAUAAUUACUAUUUUUUUGCUCUAAAAAAACAAUUUUCCCUUUUUUUUUCCUCCACAUAAAUUUAAGUAUUUUACAUUUACCAUGAGUUCUAAUUUAUGAAAUUUUUAUUCUUAUUCUCUUAAAUCCUCCCUAAUUAACUAAAAAGGAAUGGCGAAACAAUUUUUAAAAAGAACCAUCAAAGAAGAAAAUAAACGGUACAAGAUUGGUGAUAAGAGAGGAGUUACACCAGCCUCAAGUAUUAUUCGAAAACCAG